AACGAGAGAGAGGGAGCUUGCUUCCUCGAUCGAGUGGCGAACGGGUGAGUAACGCGUGAGGAACCUGCCUCAAAGAGGGGGACAACAGUUGGAAACGACUGCUAAUACCGCAUAAGCCCACGGCUCGGCAUCGAGCAGAGGGAAAAGGAGCAAUCCGCUUUGAGAUGGCCUCGCGUCCGAUUAGCUAGUUGGUGAGGUAACGGCCCACCAAGGCGACGAUCGGUAGCCGGACUGAGAGGUUGAACGGCCACAUUGGGACUGAGACACGGCCCAGACUCCUACGGGAGGCAGCAGUGGGGAAUAUUGCACAAUGGGGGAAACCCUGAUGCAGCGACGCCGCGUGGAGGAAGAAGGUCUUCGGAUUGUAAACUCCUGUUGUUGAGGAAGAUAAUGACGG
rnacentral:rRNA from 1 species